GCGCAGGCGCAGACGGCGAAGCUCACGUUCUCAGGAAAGGGUGGUGGGGGCCCGGGGUGCGUGAGAGGCGCCUGGGCGCAGGCGCAGACGACGGGGGUCGAGUUGGGCAGGCGGUAGGGGCGACCUGGGAGAAGGUCCCUGCUGCAGACGUGGAAAUGCAUCUUGUUCCAGUACAUCACAUUCCAGGGAGCAAAGAAUUCUUUUACAAAGCCGGGUGUCAUCAUUUUCUUAGAAGAAGAACCAUUGCAACAGGGCUCAAAGUUGACUCUGCUGGAAAGGCAAGGGACAGGGAAAUGAUGAUAACAUAAGCAGCCGGCUGUGUCAUUCCUUCCAUUUAUUCUCUCAUCAAAAUUGACUAGAAGGGUGGCGUGACUCACGGAGAGAAGGAAGAUCGGUGUGGUGUGGCAGCCCACCUGAGAGCCACCGCAACCCCCUACCCCCAGCCAAGGGACGCAGUGAGUGAGCAUGCCACCCAGCCUAGGAAACUGUGCUUAUCCCACGGAAGUAUGCAACCCACGGAUCGGAAGAUCCCAGUCACGAACCCACCCCACCAGGGCCUAGCCUCCCAACCCUGGAACACGCAGAUUCUUACAUCCUCUCAGCUGGAAUCUGCUUAAGCCUGAGGAACUCCUAAUGGGAGGGGCGACUUGCACCUGCUUCAGCUGCCUGCUCUCUAAGCCUUUUAGCCUCAUGGGGGAGGGGCAGCAGCCAGUACUGGGACUCGCAACUGCCUAACAAGCUAAGCUCCAUGGGCAGGGGAAGGGUGCCACCCAUUUCUAUAGCUCCAGGCUGCGUUUUUCUGCUGGUGGAGCCAAGGAGGCUGGACAGCUUGGUCCCAAGACUUGUCCCACAGCUCAACGCAUGGGCUGUGCCAGUCUGUGGCCAGAGUGCCUCUUCAGGUCUAACCCUGACCCAUCCUUCUUCAGUGGGCGGGGCUUCCCUGCAGAAUCUCCAAUAACUCCAGCCAGAGGAUCUCCCUGGGCCUGAGCCCCCAGGGGGAGGGGUGGCCACAGUCUGCAGAUCAGCAGACUUAGCCUCUCCUCUUGGUAGUUCUGAGGAAUCUGGGCAGCCUAGACAAGUGGGCUUCCCCCAGUGAAACACACCCUCUCCACCAAGGGACAAAGUGCUUUGUUAAAUGGGUCCUGCUCCCUGUGUCACCCAACUGGGUGAGACCCUCCAGCAGGGGUUGUUAGACACCCCAUACAGGGGCAAUCCUACUGGCAUCAGGUUGGUGCCCCUUGAGGUCAGAGGUCCCAGAAGAAGGAGGAGGAAAACAUCUUGGCUGCUCUCCAGCCUUGUCGAGUGGCAUUUCCAGGCACAGGACCGAAUCAGAUGAAUAAGACCUGAAAUGAACCCCCAGCAAAUUGCAGCCACCCUACAGAAGAGGGACCUGACUAUUGAAAGAAAGUAAACAAGCAGAAAGGAACAACAACAGCAUCAACAACAACAACAACAACAAAAA
rnacentral:lncRNA from 1 species